rnacentral:rRNA from 1 species
GCGGACGGGUGAGUAACACGUGGAUAACCUACCUAUAAGACUGGGAUAACUUCGGGAAACCGGAGCUAAUACCGGAUAAUAUUUUGAACCGCAUGGUUCAAAAGUGAAAGACGGUCUUGCUGUCACUUAUAGAUGGAUCCGCGCUGCAUUAGCUAGUUGGUAAGGUAACGGCUUACCAAGGCAACGAUGCAUAGCCGACCUGAGAGGGUGAUCGGCCACACUGGAACUGAGACACGGUCCAGACUCCUACGGGAGGCAGCAGUAGGGAAUCUUCCGCAAUGGGCGAAAGCCUGACGGAGCAACGCCGCGUGAGUGAUGAAGGUCUUCGGAUCGUAAAACUCUGUUAUUAGGGAAGAACAUAUGUGUAAGUAACUGUGCACAUCUUGACGGUACCUAAUCAGAAAGCCACGGCUAACUACGUGCCAGCAGCCGCGGUAAUACGUAGGUGGCAAGCGUUAUCCGGAAUUAUUGGGCGUAAAGCGCGCGUAGGCGGUUUUUUAAGUCUGAUGUGAAAGCCCACGGCUCAACCGUGGAGGGUCAUUGGAAACUGGAAAACUUGAGUGCAGAAGAGGAAAGUGGAAUUCCAUGUGUAGCGGUGAAAUGCGCAGAGAUAUGGAGGAACACCAGUGGCGAAGGCGACUUUCUGGUCUGUAACUGACGCUGAUGUGCGAAAGCGUGGGGAUCAAACAGGAUUAGAUACCCUGGUAGUCCACGCCGUAAACGAUGAGU